rnacentral:rRNA from 1 species
GACAGAGGUCCCGAGCGUUAGGCGGAAUCACUGGGCUUAAAGCGUGUGUAGGCGGAUCGUUAAGUGCUUUGUGAAAUCCCACGGCUUAACCGUGGAACUGCUUGGCAUACUGGCGAUCUUGAGCCACCUAGGGGCAACCGGAACAAACGGUGGAGCGGUGAAAUGCGUAGAUAUCGUUUGGAACGCCAAUGGUGAAAACAGGUUGCUGGGGGUGUGCUGACGCUGAGACACGAAAGCCAGGGGAGCGAACGGG